GUUUUAAAAUGCUUUGUAUGGAUGAUGCAAAACUUGUGAUAUCGAUCUGUGUUACACAUGUGCCUGUUCCCUUGUAUGUAAGUAUGCUCUUCACACAUAUGAAGGCAAAAUAUUGAUGCAAUGAAAUUGCUGUUUCCCUUCAUAUAUGACACUACUGGCAAUUAAAGGUAAACAUUUCUGCUUUAAGCCUAACAUAUCAGAAGUUUAGUGUGUUUUUUGUUUGUUUGUUUUUCUCUCCUGCAUUGAAGCUCUUUUGUUAUGUUGUCUUAAAAAUGAUGUGUAGCUAUUUUGAUAAUGGAACAAUUUAAGUACUUUGAAAGGGUUGUCUGUAACCUGGAACAUUGGUUUUUAAAAGCCUAGAGCACUGACAGUAACAUAUAACUUUGUUUUGUGUGGUUUCUUUUCCAGCUUCAUCCCAUUACUCUUCUCAGAGGUGAGUAACAUUGCUCCUGAAUUGACUAGCAGCAUGACAGAAGUGAAGGAAACAAGACAGCUUCCUGGUUGUGGUUUCAACACAGCAGUGCUUGGCACGGAGCACGAAAUGACAGUCUGUGUCCUGGAUUAUGGCGUCUGCCUGCUGGUGGGAAAAACAACAGAGCUGCACUUUCAUGGUAAAACGUAUCAAGAGAAAAGACAUGCACAAAGUAACAAAAGUUAAAUGCCUGUCAAGUUUGUAGUAAAUCGUGAGAUGACACCAGCUGACAGCUACAUCUGGUCUGAAGGACCCACAGCAAGGACACGGUAAGAACGCAGGUACCAAAAUGCUAUAUUACUGUCUCAUCAGCAACCUGAUGGUGAAGCAGAGUUAAACUGCUUUUUUCAGAGGGGCUGCCUUGUAUGAUGCAUUCAUGAGAUGAUGGGAUCUGACAAGUUAUCAUGUGCUUCACCCCUCCUCUACUGGUGGUGACUUUCUUCCUGUUUCUCAGCAGAGACAGCACUGAUUUGCUGAGCUCAGAAUAGCCCCGUGGGUGAGGGCUGUUGUGCUUUUAUACACUGCAUCCGUCUGAGAUGUUUCUGUCCCAGAUGUUAUUUUGGGGCCUUUCUAAAACCCUUCCAACUCCUGCUGGAAUCCAGUAUGGUCAGGGACGUCCUGGGCCAGAAAAGGAGAGGAGGAGGAACAGAGCAAGACAUAAUGUGAAGAUCUGUAGAACUAAGCCAUCAGCGCACAAAAACUGUCAAGGUAUAUACUAAAGCUAACUUAAGUAUUGUAGGGCACAGCAUUAUGCCUUAAAGAUUAGCAUCAGGCAGCCCUGACUGGUAUGUAUCAUGGGGAGCUGCCUAGGUCACAGCUAGCUGGGAGUGGUGAACUGGUGCAUCAAGUAAGUAAUGCACAAAUGGUUCUUCUAUAGCAGAAGGCUAAGUGGGACACAGUAAGGCGAGAGACCCUCUUCCCAGCUGAAU
rnacentral:lncRNA from 1 species